AGUGAACGCUGGCGGUAUGCCUAACACAUGCAAGUCGAACGGCCGCACAGUAAGAGCUUGCUCUUACGGGUGGCGAGUGGCGGACGGGUGAGGAAUACAUCUGCAUCUACUUUUUCUUGGGGGAUACCGUGGGAAAACUGCCGCUACUACCCCAUACUACCUACGGUGUAAAUCAGGGGUUCUUGGGACUUUUGCCGUUUCAAUUAGCCGGCGUCGGAUUGCCUAGUUGGCGGGGUAAAGGCCCACCAAGGCGACGAUACGUAGCUGGUCUGAGAGGAUGAUCAGCCACACUGGAACUGAGACACGGUCCAGACUCCUACGGGAGGCAGCAGUGGGGAAUAUUGGACAAAGGGCGAAAGCCUGAUCGAGCCAUACCGCGUGAGUGAAGAAGGCCUUCGGGUUGUAAAGCCCUUUUGUUGGGAAAGAAAAGCAGCAGGUUAAUAUCCCGCUGUUCUGACGGUACCCAAAGAAUAAGCACCGGCUAACUUCGUG
rnacentral:rRNA from 1 species